GACGAACGCUGGCGGCGUGCUUAACACAUGCAAGUCGAACGGAAAGGCCCUGCUUUUGUGGGGUGCUCGAGUGGCGAACGGGUGAGUAACACGUGAGUAACCUGCCCUUGACUUUGGGAUAACUUCAGGAAACUGGGGCUAAUACCGGAUAGGAGCUCCUGCUGCAUGGUGGGGGUUGGAAAGUUUCGGCGGUUGGGGAUGGACUCGCGGCUUAUCGCCUUGUUGGUGGGGUAGUGGCUUACCAAGGCUUUGACGGGUAGCCGGCCUGAGAGGGUGACCGGCCACAUUGGGACUGAGAUACGGCCCAGACUCCUACGGGAGGCAGCAGUGGGGAAUAUUGCACAAUGGGCGGAAGCCUGAUGCAGCAACGCCGCGUGCGGGAUGGCGGCCUUCGGGUUGUAAACCGCUUUCGCCUGUGACGAAGCGUGAGUGACGGUAAUGGGUAAAGAAGCACCGGCUAACUACGUG
rnacentral:rRNA from 1 species